UGGAGAGUUGGCAUCUGUCGUCACUGACUCAUGGUGAUUGCAAGGCAGGAGAUUUAAAAUAAAUGAAUUGAUGCAGAUUUAAUUAUAAUCAGUACUUACUUCUGGAAUGCUGUACAGAUUUCAUUAAUUUUUAGGUUUAAAGAAACUUAUUUUCAUUGUGUACACUACUAUUUUACUAUUUUUGUGCUGCACAGAGAAGAUGAAUUUAAUCUUGAUUGGAAGCAUUAAUCAGUAACAAAGGAAUUUCAUCUUGACUGGAAGCAUUAAUCAGUAACAGAGGCCAGAGUAUUUUCAGCGGGCUGACAUUUAGAAUUUUUCCGUGUUCCAGUUUGCCAGAGAAUUUGCUCAAGGUUUUCAAGCUAUUUCCCUGAUUUGUUCUUCAGCUGCUGCAAAGACUUGAAAUUGGUCAACAGUAAAAUCUUUUUUUUUUCAAAUUUUCUUAAAAAGGGCUUUUAAUUUGCUUUAGUUUCAUGUUAUUUUUUUUCAAUAUUUUCUGAACUACUGAUUUUUGGAUUAGGUUCUCUCAAGCCAUUGAAUGCAAAGGUACAGAAAGAUCUGAAGUAGGAGAAAAUAUCAGAAGCAAAAGUAAUUAGAAAUUUGAAUAUAGAAGCCGACAACAAUCAACAACUCAAUGCUGCAACAAUUGAAUAGAUUACAAUCCCAUUUGCAUACAUAUAGUGUUUUAGUUUUUGUAAACAUUAAACUUUUCCAGCUGAACUGCUACACUUGAAAAUUUGUUUCAAAUACAAAAAUAUUUCACAUAAUAAUUUCGAUACCUCUUUCAUGACUGUUGCAUGUUUCAAUUGCUGAGUCUAGAAGAGUGGGAAAUAGUUCACUGAUAUUGCUAAAAAAUUUAGCCAAUUUACUGUCUUUAAUGAUAUUUUAACCUUCAAUGACUUAAUUUCUGCAAUGUAGUCUAACUUAGAAUGAUCUUAUGUUUCUUUUUCUGUUUGCUCAUCUGGAGUGUAUGAUUUCUACAGUUCGUUGCUCUCUGUCAAAUGGGUAUUAUUUAUCUUCAACCGAGCUAAGAUAUAAUUGUAUCUAGAUGAAUUGUGUGCACUAUUUUUUAAAAGUUAGAUGCAAUAUAUUCGCUCUAGUUUUUUACUUUUUUUUCACAUUCUGAAUUUUUAAAAGUCCCUUAUAUCAGUAUAAUGCUUAUGAGGAUCAAAUAAACCCAAUUCUCUACUAUUUGGUUUCAAAAUGUGGCAUAAAGGAUGUGUGAUAGAGCUAACUGGUUAAAUUUACGUAUUAUGAUAGGAGUACAAAUUGACAAACCUUGUGAAACUUUAACUAAUUGAAAUCUAUAAAAGAAAUCUAUCAUGGUUCAUAUUUCCUGCAUAUUGGUACUCAGUAUGAACUUUUGUUACCAAGUUGAUGUAUUUUCAAGGAAGCAAUGAGACUGAAAAGAGUAUAUAUAUAGUUUGAUAUCAGAUCCACUGGACUUAUGGGGCUUGGGUGCAUUGUAGAUAUAAUU